CGUAGGGGGCAAGCGUUAUCCGGAAUUAUUGGGCGUAAAGAGUGCGUAGGUGGUUUUGUAAGCGCGAGGUGAAAGGCUAUGGCUCAACCAUAGUAAGCCUUGCGAACUGCAAGACUUGAGUGCAGGAGAGGAAAGUGGAAUUCCUAGUGUAGCGGUGAAAUGCGUAGAUAUUAGGAGGAACACCAGUGGCGAAGGCGACUUUCUGGACUGUAACUGACACUGAGGCACGAAAGCGUGGGGAACAAACAGGAUUAGAUACCCUGGUAGUCCACGCCGUAAACGAUGAGCACUAGGUGUCGGGGUCGCAAGGCUUCGGUGCCGCAGUUAACGCAUUAAGUGCUCCGCCUGGGGAGUACGCACGCAAGUGUG
rnacentral:rRNA from 1 species